GAAAUCUGGCCGUCAGGCCCGAGUUGUAAUUUGCAGAGGAUGUCUCGGGCGCGACUCCGGUCUAAGUUCUUUGGAACAGGACGUCAUAGAGGGUGAGAAUCCCGUACGCGACCGGCCGUUAACCCCGUGUGAGGCUCCUUCGACGAGUCGAGUUGUUUGGGAAUGCAGCUCUAAAUGGGUGGUAAAUUUCAUCUAAAGCUAAAUACCGGCCAGAGACCGAUAGCGCACAAGUAGAGUGAUCGAAAGAUGAAAAGCACUUUGGAAAGAGAGUUAAAAAGCACGUGAAAUUGUUGAAAGGGAAGCGCUUGCAACCAGACUUGCCCGCGGGUGAUCAGCCGUCCUUCGGGGCGGUGCACUCGCCCGCGAACAGGCCAGUAUCGGUUUCGGUGGUCGGAUAAAGGCAACGGGAACGUAGCUCCCCCCGGGGAGUCUUACAGCCCGUCGCGCAAUGCGAUCAGCCGGGACCGAGGACCGCGCUUCGGCUAGGAUACUGGCGUAAUGGUCGUAAGCGACCCGUCUUGAAACACGGACCAAGGAGUCUAACAUCUAUGCGAGUGUUUGGGUGUCAAACCCAUGCGCGCAAUGAAAGUGAACGGAGGUGGGAACCUUUCGGGGGGCACCAUCGACCGAUCCUGAUGUCUUCGGAUGGAUUUGAGUACGAGCAUAGCUGUUGGGACCCGAAAGAUGGUGAACUAUGCGUGAAUAGGGUGAAGCCAGAGGAAACUCUGGUGGAGGCUCGCAGCGGUUCUGACGUGCAAAUCGAUCGUCAAAUUUGCGUAUAGGGGCGAAAGACUAAUCGAACCAUCUAGUAGUGACCGGCCAGUUACUAGAGAUACAUCAAGGGACACGGUCCCUGUAGUCCGUUAUUCCAAUAGCGAGGCGACAUCGUCGGUCUUCGGGGAUCCCCUCCCAGGGCGAUCCGAAAUGGGCAUCCGCCCAUUCACAGGCUAAGUGACGGUGGCCGUGUCCCCAUGGGGCUCGCGGUUAGGAGAUAGUCGCCGGCCCCCUUCAAGGGAGGUCCGCGUGGGAGCUGGUUCCUGCCGAAGUUUCCCUCAGGAUAGCAGUAACGUUUUCAGUUUUAUGAGGUAAAGCGAAUGAUUAGAGGCCUUGGGGCAGAAACUGCCUUAACCUAUUCUCAAACUUUAAAUAUGUAAGAAGUCCUCGUUACUUAGUUGAACGCGGACAUUUGAAUGCACCGUUACUAGUGGGCCAUUUUUGGUAAGCAGAACUGGCGAUGCGGGAUGAACCGAACGCGAGGUUAAGGUGCCGGAAUAUACGCUCAUCAGACACCACAAAAGGUGUUAAUUCAUCUAGACAGCCGGACGGUGGCCAUGGAAGUCGGAAUCCGCUAAGGAGUGGUGGUGGUGGAAGUUGAAUUUCCACGCCCAAUAUUGUGCGUCAUAUUGUUGCGCGCUCCUAAUUAGCUACAUCGUCAGGAAACGAUGGACCUAGAGUGGUGGCAGAACGAAUUGGUAAGGACUGAACCACGCGGUGUUUCUAGCCGUUAUUUUAAAAGGGGCCACAGUUCAAUCGAUGAUUUUUCCCCACUCAAUCGUCCUAAAAUCGCGAAAACGUUUUACUUCUUACUAGUGUAGCAAUAGGGGGUACGAUCUUAUCGCGAGCCUUUGUUCACAAGGUUUACAGACUAAACAGGAUGGGUCUUUAGGGACUCUGAUAUAGUCGAGCCCGUGUCUGUAAGGACAUGGCGUGAGAUAGGGGGCUGCCGAACAGCGGCAUACGCCCCUGCGCGUUUCCAAGUGCAAAUCGAGGUUUGCUGCACGACUUGGAGACGGCGAUCUCGCACUCGCGGUGUAACAACUCACCGGCCGAAUGAAUUAGCCCUGAAAAUGGAUGGCGCUCAAGCGUGUUACCUAUACCUCGCCGCCAGGGUAGAUACGAUGCCCUGGCGAGUAGGCAGGCGUGGGGGUCCGUGACGAAGCCUGGGGG
rnacentral:rRNA from 1 species